AAGUCGUAACAAGGUUUCCGUAGGUGAACCUGCGGAAGGAUCAUUAAAUAAUGAAAGGUUUAUAGUUUCUUGCUAUAGCCUUAACAUCCUUUUACUGUGAAACGUUUUUUAUAUUGACCCUGGGUGGUUGAUGGCUUUUGUCAUCUUCCGCCCACAGUGUAUAUUGUUGGCCUGCUCUUUUCGUUCAUAGAGCCAACUUUAUGUUUGGGAAACCAAAACACUGCGAGAUCAAGGGAGCCGUAUUAGCUCUUAUCUAUGAGACGAAAAAAUUGAAUAGAAAUGAAUUAAUUUAUCUGAGUGAAAUAAUAAAAAGUUUAAAACAACUUUCAACAAUGGAUCUCUAGGUUCUC
rnacentral:misc_RNA from 1 species